GGCAUGAGCCACCAUGCCUGGCCAGUUAUUCUAUUUUUUAUUUUUAAUUGUGGUAAAAUAUACAAUAUAAAAGUUACCAUCUUAACCAUUUUUAAGCAUAUAAUUUAGUAGAGUUAAAUAUGCUCAUAUUGCUGUGAACAAGACCUUCCAAACUUUUUCAUCUUGCAAAUCUGGUAUCUGUACCCAUUAAACAGCAGCUCCCCUUUACCUCUCCUUCAGCCCCUGGGAAUCACUGUUCUACACUGUUCUGUCACUAUGUAUUUGACUAUUCUAGAUCUUCAUAUAAUUGGAAUCAUAUAGUAUUUGUCUUGUUGUUCUCAGCUUAUUUCAGUUAGCAUAGUAUCCUCAAGGUUCAUCCAUGUUGUAGCAUGUGACAGGAUUUCUUUUUCUUUUAAGGCUGAAUAAUAUUCCAUCGUAUGGAUAUCCCACAUUUUGUUUAUUCAUCCACUGAUGAACAUUUGUGCUGUUUUUGCCCUUUGGCUUUUGGAGUGGCAUUGCUAUGGAUAUGGGUAUGCAAAUAUCUCCUUGAGGAACUGCUUUCAGUUCUUGUAUAUAUACCUAGAAGUGGGAUUGGAAAAUCAAAUGGUAGUUCUAUUUUUAAUUUUUUGAGGAACCUCCAUACUGGUUUCUGUCAUGGUUACACCAUUUUACAAUUCUACCAGCAGUGCAUAAAGAUUCUAAUUCUUCCACAUCCUCAUCCACACUUUUUUUUUUUGAGACAAGGUAUUGCUGUGUCACCCAGGCUGGA